rnacentral:tRNA from 1 species
CAAAGGGUAGUUUUAAUUAAAAUUUUAGUUUUGGGAAUUAAAGAUGAGAAUUUCUUUCCUUUGA